rnacentral:misc_RNA from 1 species
GUAUUAACUUUUAUUUCGACCAUUCAAAGGUCUAUUAGACAUUCUUUAAACUUUUUACAGUGUGUGUAUAAAACAUAGACCCGGACUUUAACAUCCAGGACUACAAUAAGUGCACAGGUGGAUUGAAAAGGUGGAGUGCACAUGCCCCUAGAGGCCAGCAGCAUCCUAAGGAUUCGAUAAUGAUCCUUCCGCAGGUUCACCUACGGAAA